rnacentral:rRNA from 1 species
UGCCAGCAGCCGCGGUAAUACGGGGGGUGCAAGCGUUACUCGGAAUCACUGGGCGUAAAGGGUGCGUAGGCGUCCUGAUAAGUAUUCUGUGAAAGCCCAUGGCUCAACCAUGGAAUUGCAGAGUAAACUGUCAGGAUAGAGUAUGGAAGGGGCAGGUGGAAUUUCCGGUGUAGGGGUAAAAUCCGUAGAGAUCGGAAGGAAUACCGACGGCGAAGGCAACCUGCUGGGACAUUACUGACGCUGAGGCACGAAAGCGUGGGGAGCAAACAGGAUUAGAUA